GCCAUCAGCAUGAUAUUUUACCGAUUUAUUCAACGCAACUAACAUGUUACAACAUUCGCGUGUGAGUUUCUCAACGGUUCCAUCUACAUAAUCUUCACAAUACGCGAAGCAAUAAGCGACAUAGUCGCAGACUUGAGCGUCUCUGGAUAUGUAGCAUGGACUUAAUAUUAUUAAUACAAUUGCAACAAAAACUAGCAGAUCAAUCUUCUUGGCUGCCAUAUUAA
rnacentral:lncRNA from 1 species